rnacentral:tRNA from 1 species
AGCUGAGUGUCACAGCACCUGCUUGGCAAGCAUGAAGUCCUGAGUUCAAUUCCCAG